CUGGUUUAACCCUAGAGUGAUGAAUCCACAGAGUCACUUCUGCCACCUUUACAGCUGUUGUGGUAGAUAAAAGAACAACAUACGAAGGCUAACAGGAUGCACCCCAAGCUUUAACUCAAUAUGUAUCGGUGUGAUAUUACGAGCAAGUCCUGGAGGAUUAUUCUGUGCCCAUACUCCUGGAAUGUCAAAUAAAGAUCCAUCACUCUUAGGGUUUGCAUUUGUUAUUACAGAGUACAAGCUCCAUUCUUCUUCUUUUGGUACCAAUACUGCUAUCAUGCCUGGUGAUUUAUUAAACUUCAG